rnacentral:rRNA from 1 species
UACGAAGGGGGCUAGCGUUGCUCGGAAUCACUGGGCGUAAAGGGUGCGUAGGCGGGUCUUUAAGUCAGGGGUGAAAUCCUGGAGCUCAACUCCAGAACUGCCUUUGAUACUGGACGGUAUCUAGUUCGGGAGAGGUGAGUGGAACUGCGAGUGUAGAGGUGAAAUUCGUAGAUAUUCGCAAGAACACCAGUGGCGAAGGCGGCUCACUGGCCCGGUACUGACGCUGAGGUGCGAAAGCGUGGGAGC